rnacentral:lncRNA from 1 species
UAUGGAUUAUGGAAAUGCAUCUGCACCUAGGGCUCUAGCUGCUGAUGGCCAGAGAUAACAGCGAUGUGUAAGAGGUGAGAGAAUUUUCCUCACUAUGUAGCAAUCUACUUUGAUUCUUUACCAUCAAGCAUCUCUUCAUAAUCAAUUAUGCUCAAUUUUUGACAGUCACACGACAACUCCUGGCAAGCCUUUCGUGGAAACAUCGAGUACUGUUUAAGAUUUUUUAUCCACGGGAAACUAAUUAAUGUAUUUGGUGGAUGUACAGGGCUACGUAGUGGUUGCAGUCUUGUAUUAGCAAGUGAACGAUUUAGUGUUCAUUGGCAACAAAAGGAAGUGAAUAAUAUCAUGCCAUAAUUUAGUGUUGCUUCCUAGUCCUUGGUAGAUGAUGCAUUCUUCUUCUGCAUGGAAAUCUGCAAAUUGAUUAUCUGCAUACUAUUUGUCCGUACUUCUCCAAGAUCUGAGCAUACCAUCUUAGGAACUUCCAAAACUUCCUAGUGGGACAUAAGUUCAGGAGUGUAAUUUAUCAUUGUAAAAGUGCGUACUAAACCUUAAUAACAAGGGAUUCUGUUAUUUCUUUCUCAAUUUACUUGCAUCUUCAGAAAUCUGGUGUAUAGAGCUGCAAUGUUCAGUUUGCG